rnacentral:rRNA from 1 species
UACAGAGGUCUCAAGCGUUGUUCGGAUUCAUUGGGCGUAAAGGGUGCGUAGGUGGCAUGGUAAGUCGGAUGUGAAAUCCCGGGGCUCAACCCCGGAACUGCAUUCGAUACUGCUGCGCUAGAGUACUGGAGAGGGGAUUGGAAUUUACGGUGUAGCAGUGAAAUGCGUAGAUAUCGUAAGGAAGACCAGUGGCGAAGGCGGAUCUCUGGACAGUUACUGACACUGAGGCACGAAGGCCAGGGGAGCAAACGGG